rnacentral:rRNA from 1 species
UGGGGAAUUUUGCACAAUGGGGGAAACCCUGAUGCAGCGACGCCGCGUGAUUUAGAAGGCCUUCGGGUUGUAAAAAUCUUUUGUAUAGGAAGAAAAUGACAGUACUAUACGAAUAAGGACCGGCUAAUUACGUGCCAGCAGCCGCGGUAAUACGUAAGGUCCGAGCGUUGUCCGGAAUCAUUGGGCGUAAAGGGUACGUAGGCGGGUAAGCAAGUUAGAAGUGAAAUCCUAUAGCUCAACUAUAGUAAGCUUUUAAAACUGCUCAUCUUGAGGUAUGGAAGGGAAAGUGGAAUUCCUAGUGUAGCGGUGAAAUGCGCAGAUAUUAGGAGGAAUACCGGUGGCGAAGGCGACUCUCUGGUCUGUAACUGACGCUGAGGCUCGAAAGCGUGGGUAGCAAACAGG